UUUCAUGCGCUCCCGUUGAAACGCCUGGGCUGUUGUUUCCCGGGGCUUCGGAGGAGAAGUUGACCCCGCUUUGGAGAAAAAAAAAACGCCUGGGAUCUUUAGUCGGAAAAGCGCACACUUUUUCCGCGCGGGGACCGGAUCUGUGAAGCUGAAUGGGAAGGGUGUAAACCGGGCCGAAGCCAAGGGGGUUUCACCUAUCCAUCACCUUGGAGCGGCUGCGUGGUGCGUUUGGAGACACUACGACUCCUCCAGCCGGCGUGAGCACCGCUGCAGCACCGAGGGAAUGACACACACACACACCGAGAUGGUUCACGACUACCCGGGGAGACUUGCAGAGACUCUACUGUGAACUUUUCUAUCCUAGAACUGAACAAGACAAGAGGGGAUUAGGAAAAGGGCUUCUUCUUCUUUUUCUUCUUGUGCGUUUUAUCUGCUGAGGGAUUAAUUAUGCCAGACCAAAUCACAGUUUCAGAGUUUGUGGCAGAGACCAAUGAAGAUUAUAAAUCGCCGACUGCUUCCAACUUCACCACCAGGAUGUCCCACUGCAGGAAUACAGUAGCUGCUUUGGAGGAGGCUCUGGAUGUGGACCGCAGUGUUUUAUACAAGAUGAAGAAGUCUGUGAAGGCCAUCUACACGUCUGGUCUGGCCCAUGUAGAGAAUGAGGAGCAGUACACUCAGGCCCUGGAGAAGUUUGGAGAAAACUGCGUGUACAGAGAUGAUCCUGAUCUGGGUUCAGCCUUCCUCAAGUUCUCCGUCUUCACCAAGGAGCUCACUGCACUCUUCAAAAACCUGUUCCAAAACAUGAACAACAUCAUCACCUUUCCUCUGGACAGCCUGCUGAAAGGAGACCUGAAAGGAGUCAAAGGGGAUUUGAAGAAACCCUUCGAUAAAGCUUGGAAGGACUAUGAAACGAAAGUCACCAAGAUAGAAAAAGAGAAGAAGGAACAUGCAAGGCAACACGGGAUGAUCAGGACAGAAAUUAGCGGGGCUGAGAUUGCAGAAGAGAUGGAGAAAGAGAGGAGAUUCUUCCAAUUGCAGAUGUGUGAGUAUCUCCUCAAAGUCAACGAGAUCAAGAUCAAGAAGGGUGUGGAUCUGCUGCAGAACCUCAUCAAGUACUUCCAUGCGCAGUGCAAUUUCUUUCAGGACGGUCUGAAAGCUGUGGACAACCUGAAGCCUUCCAUAGAGAAACUGGCCACAGAUCUGCACACGAUAAAACAGGUGCAGGACGAGGAGAGAAAGCAGCUUACUCAGUUACGAGACGUUCUCAAGUCAUCACUACAGGUGGAACAAAAGGAGUCUAGGAGAGAUUCCCAGGUGCGGCAGAGUACCACAUACAGCCUGCACCAACCGCAAGGCAACAAGGAACAUGGCACGGAGCGUAGUGGGUACCUUUACAAGAAGAGUGACGGGUUGAGGAAAGUGUGGCAGAAGAGGAAGUGCACAGCGAAAAAUGGAUACCUCACCAUCUCACAUGGCACAGCGAACAGACCACCAGCUAAACUCAACCUGCUCACCUGCCAGGUGAAACACAAUCCAGAAGAGAAGAGGAGCUUUGACCUCAUCUCUCAUGACAGAACGUAUCACUUUCAAGCUGAGGAUGACCAGGAUUGUCAGAUCUGGAUCUCAGUGUUGCAAAACAGUAAGGAGGAGGCGCUGAACCAGGCCUUUAAAGGGGACCAGCAUGUCGGCGAGAACAACAUAGUGCAGGAGCUGACCAAGGCGAUCCUGGGCGAGGUCAAGAGGAUGACGGGAAAUGACGUUUGCUGUGACUGCGGAGCGCCAAAUCCAACAUGGCUGUCCACCAACUUGGGCAUCCUCACGUGUAUUGAAUGUUCAGGGAUCCACAGGGAGCUGGGUGUGCACUACUCCAGGAUCCAGUCCCUCACUCUGGAUGUACUCAGCACCUCAGAGCUCUUGCUGGCCAAGAAUGUGGGGAAUGCGGGCUUUAAUGAAAUCAUGGAGGCUUGUUUAAGUGCCGAAAAUGUGGUGAAACCCAACCCAGGCAGUGACAUGCAGGCGAGGAAAGACUUCAUCACAGCCAAGUACACCGAGAAGCGUUUUGCCAGGAAGAAGUGUCCGGAUUCAACGUCGCGGCUCCAUACGUUGUGUGAGGCAGUGAAGGCCCGGGAUAUUUUCUCCCUCAUCCAGGUGUACGCCGAGGGAAUCGACCUCAUGGAGCCCAUUCCUCUGGCCAACGGACACGAACAAGGGGAGACAGCGCUUCAUUUAGCAGUCAGACUGGUCGAUAGAACUUCUCUUCAUAUUGUUGACUUCCUCACACAAAACAGUCUGAAUCUGGAUAAGCAGACGGCCAAAGGCAGCACCGCUCUGCAUUACUGCUGCCUGACUGACAACAGCGAGUGUCUGAAACUGCUGCUGCGAGGGAAGGCCUCCAUAGACAUCGCUAAUGAGGCUGGGGAGACACCACUGGAUAUCGCUCGGAGGCUCAAACAUCUACAGUGUGAGGAGCUGUUGAACCAAGCGCUGGCAGGGAAAUUCAACGCCCACGUUCACGUUGAGUAUGAAUGGUGCCUGCAGCAUGAGGACUUGGAUGAGAGCGACGAAGAUCUGGAUGAGAAGCCGAGCCCUCAUCGCAGAGACGAGCGUCCCGUCAGCUGUUACACCCCCAGCAGUAACUCCCACCUCGCCAAGGACAAGCAGCGAGCCUACAUGCCCAACCUGGUCAACAAUGAGACCUACGGCACCAUCCUCAGCACAAAUCCACCCCAGCCCGGAAUGCCCUCCACCACCUCUGCACCGCCCCUGCCCCCAAGGAAUCUGGUCCAGUUAUCCGGUCUGGGAGGAAUGGGUCAGUCCUCAGCAUCCAGCAGCUGGAAGCCUGGCUCUUUAGAUCUGUGCGGGCGACAGAGGUCGUCCUCGGACCCUCCCAACAUGCACCCCCCUGUCCCCCCUAUGAGACUCACCUCAACUGGAGGUCUGGCCCCUUCUGUGGUGAAAGCGGCGGGUAUGAUGGAAGCUAUGAAUAUACAGUCCAAAUCGGGUCAGGGACCAGCGGGGUCCAGGGCAGCACCACCCAAAUCCCCUGCAGGCAACGACAAAAGCUUCAGCAGAGGGCCGCUGAAUCGAACAGAAUCUAUCGAAAGACCAGCUAAGGAAGUGCCAGGAUGCCCCCAGAACUCCAUAGGUCAGUCCCUGCCUCCAGCCCCCAUGCCGAGGAAGGCCUACACGAAACAGAGGCCGAAGCGAGUGAAGGCCAUCUACAACUGUAUAGCGGACAACCCUGACGAGCUGACCUUCUCGGAGGGCGAGGUGAUCGUGGUGGACGGCGAGGAGGACCAGGAGUGGUGGGUAUAGAAGACGUUAAAAAAACUGGAUUAUUUUCAGUUCUGUCUUCUUUAUCACAUAAGCUUGGCCACAUCGAAGGUGAUCCGAUGAGGCGAGGAGCUUUCCCGGUCACAUUUGUGCACUUCAUUGCAGACUGAAGGAUAAAUGUAAUCGUGUCGGGUUCAGGUCUGGGAUGCAGCGUCUUCCCAUCACCUUUGUUUCUGUUAGCCAAAAGCCAGCGAGAACACCGCUAACAGUUGUGUCGUCAUCAUCAUGGUCGUCGUCAUCAUCAUCAGCUUUAGUGGCACCAUCUGCGAACCACACCUUGACUCCGCUUGGGCGUGGUCACGGCAACGGUCACACCACAAAGUCUGGGUAUCACUUUUUCGCAGCCAUGUACUCAUACUGUAGGACCAUAUGUGGUUUUAACGCUUGCUGUUGAUGUUUCUGACUAUAAGAUUUUCAAGUGAUGAUUGUAGUGAAUGACCUCUUGCGAUGAAUGCACUUUCCUCGUCUUUGUCCUCGUUACAGCCUAACAUUUGACACAAUGAAGGUUAUAUGUACAGUAUUCAUUUCCUCCAUUUUCUGUUAAAAGUGAUAGACGGCAAUGUAUUUAAACUUACUACUAACUGUAAAUGUGAACAUGCUUACAUUCCACCUCUGUGUUGAGCGUCUUCCUGCUUCUAGGUGCAACUGUUGAAUCUGUAGUGCAGUAGGCCUCCUGUGUGGAGCCAGACACUUCUUAAUGGUGCUAAGUUAUACCUGGAAUAUGCUCGAAGCCGCCCCCCGAGGGAGCGCUUCCCUGACCCCGUUUUAAAGACAGACCGGUGUUGAAAAAGAAAAUUGGGGGGUUGCUGCAUGCAGAAAAUAGCCCUCCACUCAUGACACCUGGGAAAUCACACUUUCUCAUGUGUGUGUGAGCGCUGCAAAUGAAUUCAGUCAUUCUACGAGUGCUUUGUCGUGUCUUAAUUUCAUCCACGUGCUCAUUCUGCCAGUACAGUUUUAGCACGGAGGAUAUUAAUCCACACAACACUCCAGUUUUUUUUUCCCCCCGUCUUACUGUUUUAGGUCAAAUGACGACACUGACUGAAGCUGCAGCAGCCAGUAGUAAUUACCUUUUGCUUCGUCCGACACUUGAGGCUAUUUCUGCCUGUCAUCUGCCUUAUUAGCUUUAGCAAAAUAGCAAGUGUGUCUCAUUCACAGAGUAAGCUGAGGAUGAAAGAACAAUAAAAUAGUAGGACGUUAAAAAAAAGAGCCUAUGCUAACAAGAGGGAGGCCGCUCUGUGACUGUAGUUUCUUCCUCUUGCCUUUGAGCACAUUCACUCUUACAGGCUGAUUCAGUGUUCACAUUCGAGCUAAAUCCAGUUUAUAUCUGACACUCUAUACAAGCAGCCAUAGAGAGACUAUGUAAACCUAAUGUAUCUGUACAUCUCUGGGGUCCCAUAAUGUAGAAAGAGGAGUUUUAUCUAUAGUGUUAUGAAAUAAAUCUAAAACAUUCAAUGUAAUUAACUUCAUUUUGGUUGCAGAGCAACUUUCUUUGUUUAUAAAUACUGUAUGUUGAUAUUAAGGCAUUUAACAGGAAACCGGAGCCUUCUAUGGAUUUGUGAAUGACACAAAGAGAAGCAUGUGAACUGAAGGUGAUAAACACUCUUCACUCCGUUUAAUAUAAACUCACUGGAAACAGGAAGAUUUAUUAAUCUAUACGUGUACAUAGAUUUGGUUUGUUUGUUGAUAUUUAAAUGUAAAGCGUUAACCUGGGCAGUAAAUGUCUUUUAAUGCACUGUGGUGAUGAGCAGUUACAGAUACAACCUCAGCUGGACUUGUGUGUGUGUGUGUGUGUGUGUGUGGGUGUGCAGAAAUACACAAUACACACACAUCUGGGAAAUACACGUAAUCCUUUCACAUUAACUGUUAGAGGAUCGAGGUAUCCGCUCUUAACUCUGUUGUGCAAGUAAACGGGAAAAUGAAACUGGAAUAAUAAAAUACGAAAUACAA